GACGAACGCUGGCGGCGUGCCUAACACAUGCAAGUCGAGCGAAGUAUAUCUGAGGGAAAUUUUCGGAUGGAACUUAGAUAUAUCUUAGCGGCGGACGGGUGAGUAACGCGUGAGCAACCUGCCUUUCACAAAGGGAUAGCCUCGGGAAACUGGGAUUAAUACCAUAUAAAACUUGUCUUUCGCAUGAAAGAAAAGUCAAAGCGAAUAAGCGGUGAAAGAUGGGCUCGCGUCCUAUUAGCUAGUUGGUGAGGUAACGGCUCACCAAGGCGACGAUAGGUAGCCGGCCUGAGAGGGUGAACGGGCCACACUGGAACUGAGACACGGUCCAGACUCCUACGGGAGGCAGCAGUGGGGGAUAUUGCACAAUGGAGGAAACUCUGAUGCAGCGACGCCGCGUGAGUGAAGAAGGCCUUCGGGUCGUAAAGCUCUGUCCGUAGGGGAAGAUAAAUGACGGUACCCGUAGGAGGAAGCCCCGGCUAACUACGUGCCAGCCGCCGCGGUAAACCAUACUCGUCCG
rnacentral:rRNA from 1 species